UGCAAGUCGAACGGCAGCACGGGUGCUUGCACCUGGUGGCGAGUGGCGAACGGGUGAGUAAUACAUCGGAACGUACCUUAUCGUGGGGGAUAACGCAGCGAAAGCUGUGCUAAUACCGCAUACGCCCUGAGGGGGAAAGCGGGGGAUCGAAAGACCUCGCGCGAUUAGAGCGGCCGAUGCCUGAUUAGCUUGUUGGUGGGGUAAAAGCCCACCAAGGCGACGAUCAGUAGCUGGUCUGAGAGGACGAUCAGCCACACUGGGACUGAGACACGGCCCAGACUCCUACGGGAGGCAGCAGUGGGGAAUUUUGGACAAUGGGGGCAACCCUGAUCCAGCAAUGCCGCGUGAGUGAAGAAGGCCUUCGGGUUGUAAAGCUCUUUUGUCAGGGAAGAAACACCGGCUCUAACACAGUCCGGGAAUGACGGUACCUGAAGAAUAAGCACCGGCUAACUACGUGCCAGCAGCCGCGGUAAUACGUAGGGUGCGAGCGUUAAUCGGAAUUACUGGGCGUAAAGCGUGCGCAGGCGGUUAUACAAGACAGGCGUGAAAUCCCCGGGCUUAACCUGGGAAUGGCGCCUGUGACUGUAUAGCUAGAGUGUGUCAGAGGGGGGUAGAAUUCCACGUGUAGCAGUGAAAUGCGUAGAUAUGUGGAGGAAUACCAAUGGCGAAAGCAGCCCCCUGGGAUAACACUGACGCUCAU
rnacentral:rRNA from 1 species